AUGUUGUCUUCUGUCUGUGGGGAUUUCGGUUCAGUCACUCCGUCCCCGGGGCCUCUAUGGAGGCGGAACUACUGUGUCAGGGGUCGUGGUUUUCAGGGAGAAGUCGUGGUCGGAGUGACAAGAGGGCGGGCAGUAGGCGGGACUUCCGGCCCACGGUUCCGUCAGCUGCCUUUCCCGGGCGUCUCCCCGCAACCCCCUCAACUUCCCUUGUCCGUGACGCGGCGCCCAGGAGAAAUUAGACGGGACAGGGACCGGGGGAGCGUGAGCUGCAGGGUCACUAUUAUGGAAUGACUGUGAUCUUGGUGUUUUCCAUCUCCUAAGAAAGUGGAGAAGAUAUAGAAGUGUUUUGCAUUAUAAAACAAAAAGUAUUAGAUGUGUUUGUUCUAAAUCCAGAGGAUCUUAAAACUUCAGUUUAAGUCUGAUGUGUAAUGUUCAGUUUAAAGUAUAGUAUAAGGGGCUUCCCUGGUGGCACAGUGGUUAAGAAUCCGCCUGCCAAUGCAGGGGAUACGGGUUCGAGCCCUGGUCCGGGAAGACCCAACAUGUCACGGAGCAGCUAAGCCCGAGCACCACAACUACUGAGCCUGCAUGCCACAGCAACUGAAGCCCACACGCCUAGAGCCUGUGCUCCGCAACAAAGAGAAGCCACCGCAAAGAGAAGCCUGCGCACCGCAUCAAAGAGAAAGCCCACGCACAGCAACAAAGACCCAACACAGCCAAUAAAUAAAUAAAUAAAAUAAAAAAGAGUAUAGUAUAAAAUACAAUAUAUGACACAAAAGUCAUCUUUGGAAAAUAGAAGAACUGUAAGCAGAUAAGAAAAAAUACUUUUGACAGGAUGAGAGCUUUGUUUUGCCAUCUUUGAUACACUUAUAAAUUGACAAGUACUUGACCUCUUUCCAUCAAAACAAAAUACUAACGUAAGUAGUGCUUUUCAAAAUUUCAAAGGAGUUUUUCCACUUAUUACAUUUAUUCAAAUAGUUAUUGAGCACCUACUUUGUGCUAGGGCUCAUUGCCAAGUAUUGAAUGCAUUAAUUAUGAUUUUGUGGUUCUAAGUGAUAAAAAACCAAGCUUAACUGAGCUUAAGCAAAAAGGGGAAUGUAUUGGUUGACACAAUUAGGCAGUUCAGGAUCUGGCUUCUCUCCAUCAUCAGCAUUGCUUUCUCUGUGUGACUAUUUUGAGAAAGACUCUCUUCCUGGUUAUAGGAUGACCACUAGAUUGUUAUAGGAUGGUUCCUAGAGUCAGGUCUCCAGGCUUGAACUCACAAAGAAAGAAGUGAUAAUCUUUGUCCAAGAAUUCCUAUCUGGCGAGUCCUGAGAUUCACUCUGAUUGGACUAUCUUAGGUCACCAAUCACUGCCCUUCCCACCUCCCUCCUCCCCCAGUCUGUGGCCUGAGAGAGUGAUGUGCUGAUUGGUUCAGGUUAGGCACGUGGCAUCUGACGGUAUGGCUAAGGGUGAAGAUCACACAGACCGAAUGAUACUGAGUCUCCGAAUGAAAAUGGGCUCUACUCAGAGCAGGAGAAUUGAACGGUGGAAAGAAGCAACAUCAGGGAGUUUGUUUUCUAAUCUCUCAUUUGCACUCACCAUAACUUAGAGUUAAGGUACUAGGUGGAGCUAGAUUUUUUUUUUUUGUUUUUGUCCAGGCCGAGAGGCUUGUGGGAUCUUAGUUCCCCGACCAGGGAUUGAACCCAUGCCCCCUGCAGUGGAAGCGCGAGUCCUAACCACUGGACUGCCAGGGAAUUCCCUGGGAGGAGCUAGAAUGAAAUCCCCGUUUAUAUGAUAUGAUUCCUGGUCUAUUGCACCCUCUACUCUUCUACUCUGGCCCAAACCAAAAUAAGCCCCUGGAAUUCCUAAGUAGUCUGUCAGCGAUAUGCCCAGUGAGAAGGAGCCCAGUCUUUGUGAAAGAUGAAAUUAAACUCCUGCUCGGCACAGUGUAGUGCAUGACCAGAGUGCAGUAAGUGGUUUUGUUUAAAUUCAUGUAUGACCAUUUUAUAUACUAGGCAGCAUAUAAUAAGUAAAUAAAUACUAGGCAGUGUUGUUGUUAAGUACACAGAUCCUAGAGCCAGAAUGCCUUGGUUCAAAUCCUGGUUUUGCCCUGUCCUAGGUGUGUGACCUCAGUCAAGUCAUUUAACCCAGCUGUGCCUCAAUUUCCUCAUCUGCAAAAUAGAGCAAAUAAUACUAUCUACCGCAUAAGAUUGUUGUGAGAAUUAAGUUAUUUAAUAUAUGCAAAAGGUUUAUAACUUUCUGGCACAAAGGAAGUACUCUGUAAGUGUUAGCUAUAAUUUUUAUCAUCACUAUUAUCAUAAUCUUUGGGACUGUGAUAGAGAAAUGUGGAUUAUGUGAUAGUACAAUGAAGUGGGUUUACAUCUGAUUGAAUACCCUAAUCAUUAAGAAUUCUAAAUAUAUUUUUCUAUCCUGUUUUCUAAAGAUAAACUCUCCUGUGUUUUAUAUUGUACUAACCUAGAGUAUUAAGAGUGGAUCUCAAUGAGGAGAGAGGGGUCCAGUGGUAUGUCACAUUGGUGUAUGGUGACAUAUAUCUAUCCUGAUCAAGACUUUCAGCACUAACAUGGAUGGAAACAUAAAAAACAUGCUUUUCAAGUUUAUAGGUUACAUAACAUUGUGAAUGCUAAUGUGAUAGAUGGCAGUCAUGAUUUGAAAUUAUUUUAAGAUUAGAACAAACAAAAAGAUCAACCAUGAUGGACUUUACAGGAU
ensembl:lncRNA